UGGGUAUAUAAGCACGGGAAAGGUGGAUUCGGUUCCUGACCAGCCGCUUUGCCCUGCACCUCCAGACUCUGUGCGGAUCCCGCUGACCUUCCCCCCAAACCCCCUAGAUUUCACCCCCACCUUAUUUUCUCCCAACCUUCUUUCUUUCUUCCAUUCCAUCCUGACCUCUACCUCUGGCUGACCUUUCUCUGGAGUGGGGAGGAGGGUGAUAGGGGUUGGGUGAGUAAAAUAAAGGCAGUGAGGUGACAGAAGAGACUUUUUGGAGAGAGUGAGAGAAAGAGAGGCGGUGGGUACCUACCUAACCCAACCCCAUUGGCUUUCUAGUUGAGGGUGUGAGCAGCAUCAGCCUGUGCAAGGAAGAUUACUUUGGCUUCUUUUUCUUUUCUUCUUUGCUUGGCUUCCUUCUUUCCUUUUCUCUCUCUCGCCCUCUCAGCUGUAAGCGUGCAUGCCUUCCCCUCCCUCUGUACCUUAGCUGGAGAUGCUGCAGGAAGAAUAGAGAUGUAGUGGUGCCUAUAGGGGAGAUGAGGUGCAGGAUGUGUGGAAGGGAGUUGCGUGUGUGUACGUGUGUGUAUGUAUGGAGGGUGGAAGAUAACUGGGGGUGGGGUUGUCUGAAUAUUCUCUCUCUCUCUCGCUCUCAUUCUCCAAGUGAGGUCUAAUGCCAUUACUGGGCCUGCUCCUUUCUCUCUCUCUCUCUCUCUCUCUCUCUCUCUCUUUCUCUCUCUUUCUCUCUCUCUCUCUCCCCUCCUGCAUUAGAGAUUAGCUUUAAGGAAAAGGCUGACGGCUGCUGCAUGCAACGCAUUAUUACCUUGUGAUUCCAUGACCCUCCUCUAUGCAUCCCUAACUCUCGAAAGCUGAUUCAGCUUUCAGCUACUGCUCUGGUGACUUCCACUGCUGCAACAGGAAAAAAAAAUCUUCUAACUGGUAUGUCUUCUUUUCCUUUUUUUCUGUUUCACCUCUCUCUCUUAUCUCCCUUUAACUAUUUUCCUACCCCCUUUUCCAUAACACCCUCUGAAUUGCACCAGCUUAGCUUUGUUUUAAAAAAAGACCUGCUGCAGAACUCUUUUUUCCCCCUUCUGUGCAUGCAUCCAACUUGUCUCUCUCUGUGUGCUCACUUAAAAUGCAUGCUUCUGCAUCCAGCAGAAGGGCAGCAGCAUGCUUUCAUAGAGGUGGGGGUGGGAUGGGUUAGUGUUAGGGCAAUGUUGGGAUUCUUCCCCCUUUUCUCUUCCUCCCCUUUUUUCCUCUUGUUGUUGUUAUUCUAUUGCUGUAGCACACACUCCGCAUUUAAAACACACACACACAGACACACAUCCACACGCACAAAACUGCAGAGCAAGCAGUGGACUAGAAUAAUCUGAACUGAAACGCUAGAACUUUGACAUGCAGCCGUAUUGCAAGGUUAAACCAACCUUUUAAAUGCCUCAUUCAGAUAUGAGCCGGCUAAUGACAGCUGUGGCGGGGAGGGGGAAUAUUUUUUGAUAUUAAUAACUAGUGGCUGCAAGCUGUAGCGAUACCAAAAGGGGAAAGGGGCACUGGCACACAGCGACACAGCCACACUCACAGGCACACAAGGUGGUUAAACUUAGCCUAACUUGUCAUGAUCUCAGCGCUGCGGUGAUUAACCAUCGAAAUGCCAGGGCUUGUGAGCAUUAAUUACCUGUGCAUGAUUUAUGGGUAAUCAAAAUGGGAGGUUGGAGGUGAGGGUGAAGCAUCCGUAACCAGAUAGGCACACUGGAGAAGCCAAAGAAAGGGGGUUGGGGGUGGCUGGAGGAAAAGAAAGGCAAGUUAGACUUAAGAACAUCUUGUAUGUAGUUUUGCUUUCUCUUGGUCUUGAAGAUUAUAAUUGAAGUAUAAGAUUGUGAUGGCUGCUCAGUCAUAAAGUCAUGCAAUAUCCAAGAAUGCACUGUGGAUUUGAUACCGGCAAUGUAUGCAUAUUUGUAUACUAUAGGUACUGAAAAGCAUCUUGACUGUAGGUAAAUGGAGGAUCACUAUCCUGAGUCAAUGUGAAUAUUUGUACAUUCAUGUGCCUGUAUCCCAGCAAUGCUCACUAACACAUGUGUCUCUUGUGUACUUAUUCCAUAUGUUAUGGCUGUGGUUUCUGAGUCAUGUAGUGUGUGGAGUAGACCUAGGUCCCCUCCUGGGGCUGCUCCAGAGUUAGUGCAUUAAGGAUUUCAGGCUUGACCACUUGAGGCUUCUUUUCCAUCUCUCUAGUGUACUGUGUAUGUGUGCAUAGGGAAGAAUGAAUUCCUAACACUCAGCAAUAACGUGCAAUUGUGUCGUCAGAAAAAAAGCUAUCAUGGUAAUUGCUGCUUUUCUCCAGAACUGGUUUUAUCAUGCCUCUUGCUCAGAAUAUCAUUGAUGACACCGAGACAUGGAGUCAAUUCAGUAAGGAAUAGACAGAUAUCUAUUUGGGGUGGGCAGGAACAGUCAGCCUCCCCGCUCCCUUUAACUUUCCCACUCCUCACUUUCUUGUGCAUGUCGUCUUCCCAUGGCCCUUCUGUCUUGUGCCUCUUUUGACAUAGAUGGUCAUUUUGCAAAUAUUUGAGAUUGACACUUAGGGGACAGAGUUGAGAAAAAAAAGCUUUGUACAUUAAAGUGGGUUCGUAGUGCCUUUGUGUCACCACACCCACAAGGAGCCAACUCUCUUCCUUACUUCAAUUUCCUCCUUGAAUUUUCAUUGUGCCUCCUUAUAGGAGGAUUAUUAUUUGAAAAAGACAUAGGGAAAGAGAGAGAGGGGGGGGGGGAGUCUCCCUUCCUCAGCAUUUUGCCCUUGUUCACCUUUUUAUCAUGCAGGAUUUUCCCACUAUGAAUGAACCGACUACUCCAGCUGAAGAUGAGGAACUUGAGUUGCCCUCUGUUAUCCUUGAGGGUGUGAAAAUGAUAAAUAACCCUGACUAAAUGUAAAAGCAGCAGCUGAGCUAUAUAAUUCCGCUGUGCUAAAAGAAAAAAAGAAAAAAGAAGAGGAGGAGGAAGAGGAAGAGGAGGAGGGGAGGUGGAAGAGGAGCACUUUGGGCUGCUGUAAACCCAGUGCUGGGAGCAAAUGUGACACAAAUUACUUACCUGUCUUUUCCCACACACCUCUCUCCAUCAGGAGAGUAACGGCUGGCUCCUGUAUUAAUUUCUAGCCAGACUUGAAAACUUUGAGGUGACUUUUUUGUGCUGCUUUAAAUGGAGACAAUUUUGUCGCUUAACCUUUUUGUAUUUAUGGGGUUUGCCUCUUCCGCUUUGCUGAAUCGAGUUCCCAAUUAGCAGCUGUUUCAUUUGUGGAAGGAGCGCUUCAAGGAUUCAAGGGGAUAAAAAGGCAUAUAGGGAGAGAACUGGUGCCAAUUGAGGGCUCUUCACAAUAAUUUAAAAUGAGGGGUAAAUAGAUAAAGUGGAUAACCUUCAUCCACUUGUAGCUGUUUAAAAUGACUCCCCCCCCACCCCACUGCAUUGGAACAAGAAGAAACAAGUUAAAAGCCUGUGUCUCGAUCAGAUCCAUGCUUUUAAAAGGUAUUUGAUAAUGAUUUCUAAGCAAGGACACUGCUAUCCCAUCUAAGUGUGUGUGUAUGUAUGCGUGCCGAUUUUGUACCUUGGCUCAGUCUCGCUGAACUUAAUUCUGCUGCUUUGAUGCAUUCAGAGGGGGGAAUUUGCUUCAGCAAUCUCCACUGAGACCAAUUCCCUGCAAUGGGGCUAUCCUUUGGAAAUUUGCCUAUAUAUUAAUAGGGGAGUGCUAGAACAAUUGAGAGGUUUUUCAAAUUGUGAUAUUAUUAUUGUUGUUGUUAUUAUUAUUAUUGCUUUGAAAAAAAGAUAUUUAAUCAAUCAAUGCAGUCUAUCUGAGCAGAUAACCCAGUUGCCUUCUGGAUGAGUGGGAUAGUAGGCCUGCUUUGGAAAUAACGAAUCAGAAGAAUAGUAAUCCUAACGAUCAAUUAGCUUUAUAGUAACGCUUUGAAUUUGCGGUAGGGGUCCAGGUUGCCUUUGCCGUUGUAUGUUCAAAUGCCUAGUGGGGAGGGUGGGGUUGCCGGACCCAUCAAUACAAUUAAGUAUUCCAAAGUGCUUAGUUUGCCACUUGCUAAGUUUACUUAAACCCUCUUUAAAGGGUUCAUUAGAAGACUGUGAGAAAUGGUAAAAUUCAUUAACAUUAAGGCAGCCGUUCUGCAUUUGCCUGUAAAUUGGUAUUGAUCUGCAUGGCUCAGUCCAGUGGCAGGGAGGGAAGGAAGGAGUGAGGAGAGGAGAGGAGAGGAGAGAGAGAGAGAGAGAGAGAGAGAGAGAGGAGGUAGCCGUCAGAUGGAGCAGGUGAGUGCUCCAUUACAGCAAUGCUGAACGAGCAUUAUGCACUCAGUGUGACCUCCUGGUUUGCUCCAUGUCUAAAUCCUGCUCAUAAUAGUCUCCUAUUCAGUGCACUCAUCAUUCUCAGCGAUGCUACUCGGACCUCAUUGUUAGGGGAGCUUUAAAGCUCAGAGAGGCUGUGAGGUAACCAGUGAGAAGAGGGGGAAAAGAGAGGAGAGAUGCAGCCUGAUGCAAAUGCAAGGGAGACGCAAGGUUUCAUGCACAUGGACACUCACACGCACACCGAGGAGUAACUCCCGUGACUUUCUACUCUGGCCUACUUGCAGCAUCAUCCACCUGCCCCCCUUGAGCUGCUCCCACUCCGUCUGAUCUGGUCUGUCCUCACCUACAUCUCCAGCAUACUCCAAGCAGAAGAUAUUUUAGAAAAUCCCAUUGCUCCCCACUGUCUCCUCUUGUUCUCCUGUUCCUGGCAAAAGAGACCCAGAGAGAGGUCAAAGAGAAAACCAAGCCUUUUUCUUUGGGGGGUUUCCAUCCUCCAGGCUGCACCCCAUCUAUCAUGACCUACAAAAAGGGGGAGAAAACUGUGACAGUGGACACUUGAGAGGUCAGGACAUGGAGCAACCAAUUUAAACUGCAGGAAAAGAAAUUCCAGCUAAGCAUUAAGAAUCUCCUGAUGAUAAAACCUGUUCAACAGUGGAAUGCGCUGCUUUGAUCAACAGUAGCCUGAAGGCCAUCACAGGAGAGCAACCCAGUUCACAAACAAAGAAUCUCCACCUGUCUCCAAGUCUGUAUGUGUUAUUUAAUGAGCAUCACAGACUGUGCUGUGCCACAGAAGAACAGUAUCCAGACUGGAACCAAAUGUGAGAUUCCAACCUAACAUAGUUCCUCUGUAUCACAGAAGGUAUUGACAUAUUUUUCAGCAUUAGUUACUGAAUUAUCUAUGGUGCUGG